CGCGUGUUUUGCCCAGGCUGAGCUCGACCGCCGGUUCAGACCAUGAUCGCGUUCACGACGAUCACCGCGAGGCGCAUGGGAUCGAGCCGAUCUGCAAUGUGCUGCCGAUCACCCCG
rfam:Mesorhizobium ciceri biovar biserrulae WSM1271, complete genome.